rnacentral:rRNA from 1 species
GGCAGACGGGUGAGUAACACGUGGGAACGUGCCUUUCAGUUCGGAAUAACCCAGGGAAACUUGGGCUAAUACCGGAUACGCCCUUUGGGGGAAAGAUUUAUCGCUGAGAGAGCGGCCCGCGUCUGAUUAGCUAGUUGGUAGGGUAAUGGCCUACCAAGGCGACGAUCAGUAGCUGGUCUGAGAGGAUGAUCAGCCACACUGGGACUGAGACACGGCCCAGACUCCUACGGGAGGCAGCAGUGGGGAAUAUUGGACAAUGGGCGCAAGCCUGAUCCAGCCAUGCCGCGUGAGUGAUGAAGGCCCUAGGGUUGUAAAGCUCUUUCGGCGGGGACGAUAAUGACGGUACCCGCAGAAGAAGCCCCGGCUAACUUCGUGCCAGCCGCCGCGG